rnacentral:tRNA from 2 species
CGUGGGGUAGAGCAGUCCGGUAGCUCGUCGCGCUCAUAACGCGAAGGUCGCGGGUUCGAAUCCCGCCCCCGCCACCA